GCUAGGGAUAACAGGGUGCGACCUGCCAAGCUGCACAAUUCAAUGUGGUUAGAAAACCAACUUGGAAUCCAAUCUCCAUGAGCCUACCAUCACAUGCGUUCUAGGGUUAACCUGAAGGUGUGAAGCUGAUGGGAAAAAGUAACCCAAACUGUAUGUGACAGUGAGGGGGCAGGCUAGAUUCCUAUGGGCAAUGUAAAUGAACACUCAUCUGAGGCAUCGUGACCCUAUCACAUCUAGUUAAUUGUGAGAGAAUCUUAUGUCUCUGUUUCAUAAGAUUGAUUGGACAAUUUCUCACCGGUGUAAAGAGUGGUCCUAAGGGAAUCAUCGAAAGUGAAUUGUGCGGAACAGGGCAAGCCCCAUAGGCUCCUUCGGGAGUGAGCGAAGCAAUUCUCUCUAUCGCCUAGUGGGUAAAAGACAGGGCAAAAAGCGAAUGCCAGUUAGUAAUAGACUGGAUAGGGUGAAUAACCUAACCUGAAAGGGUGCAGACUUGCUCAUGGGCGUGGGAAAUCAGAUUUCGUGAAUACACCAGCAUUCAAGAGUUUCCAUGCUUGAGCCGUGUGCGGUGAAAGUCGCAUGCACGGUUCUACUGGGGGGAAAGCCUGAGAGGGCCUACCUAUCCAACUUU
rnacentral:ncRNA from 15 species